AGGGUCCACCUCUUCCCAUUCCGAACAGAGUCGUUAAGCUCGCCAGCGCCGAUGGUACUGGGUCAGAUGUCCCGGGAGAGUAGGUCGGUGCCAACU
rnacentral:rRNA from 1 species